CCAACCUCAAUGAUCCUGUGAUUCUAUGACUCUGUGAUCACACUGCCCGGUCGCAGAGCACAAGCGUGGGCUCCGGGCACUGCGGUGGUGGGCCCUCAUGUCCGCUGCUCUCAGCUGCUCCCUUCCGGGCGCCCCCGCGAAAUGUCCCCAGGAGCCACCAGAGGGAGCUCCGCUGCUCCUCACCAGGUCACUCAGCACUCAGCGGCCAGGGCGCGAACCUUUAUGCAUAAACAAUACCUAAAACAAUAUGCGUAUGCUACAAAGACAUCUGCCACCGUUUCUCCAACUGUUAAAGUAAAGGCACCAGUACUCUUCCAUAUCCCUCUUUCUCUCCGUUGCUUUUGUUAAUCUCCUAUCAGCUUUCUACUCCUUCAGUCCUUACUUUGCCCAGAGGGAAAGCACUCUCCUUUGCCCUCCUCAGGGCUCAGCCCACGUAACCAUCUCAGUCGUGUCAGAAGUAAGCAAAGUCCUUCCUAAAGAAACCUGCAACUACGUUGGCACUUGAGUCAACACGGCAAGACAGGAUCAAGAUGACUUUUACUUUUCCCUACACAUAUCGUGCCCCCACAGCAUUUGAAAGGACCAACUGAGAGUCUAAAGCUGGCUCAGAUGAAAACUCAAGAAAUGAUGAGGAUGUUGUGCAUGUAAAGGCAAUGGAAAGGCAGCAGCCAACAUGUAGAAACUUCUGACUUGAUAUCAGUCUUCCACUGGUGGCUGUGGGAAGAGAACAGAGAAGAUAAGCCGGAAAUGACAGUGGUGUGUAUGGAUUAGAUAUUGUAUCAAAGUGUCAAAAAUAGGAGUGGAGAAAAUAAAAGUAAUCUUCCAUGUGCACAUUA